GUAUGUGGUCACCGCAAGGUUUCUGGUGGCAACACCAGACAUUACACAGGUGGUUCGCUCACAGCGGGCCACCCCCGGCAACGCCGGACAGCAUCAAAACCGCCGGUGUCGAACCGGC
rfam:Pseudomonas putida KT2440 complete genome.